CUUGGAACAGGACGUCAUAGAGGGUGAGAAUCCCGUGUGGCGAGGAGUGCGGUUCUUUGUCAAGUGCCUUCGAAGAAUAGAGUUGUUUGGGAAUGCAGCUCUAAGUGGGUGGUAAAUUCCAUCUAAAGCUAAAUAUUGGCGAGAGACCGAUAGCGAACAAGUACAGUGAUGGAAAGAUGAAAAGAACUUUGAAAAGAGAGUGAAAAAGUACGUGAAAUUGUUGAAAGGGAAGGGCAUUUGAUCAGACAUGGUGUUUUGUGCCCUCUGCUCCUUGUGGGUAGGGGAAUCUCGCAUUUCACUGGGCCAGCAUCAGUUUUGGUGGCAGGAUAAAUCCAUAGGAAUGUAGCUUGCCUCGGUAAGUAUUAUAGCCUGUGGGAAUACUGCCAGCUGGGACUGAGGACUGCGACGUAAGUCAAGGAUGCUGGCAUAAUGGUUAUAUGCCGCCCGUCUUGAACCACGG
rnacentral:rRNA from 1 species